GUGCUCGCUUUGGCAGCAUAUAUACUAAAAUUGGACUAAUACAGAGAAGAUUAGCAUGGCUCCUGUUCGAGGAUGACAUGUAAAAUCGUGAAGCAUUCCAUAUUUUU
ensembl:snRNA U6 U6 spliceosomal RNA